rnacentral:lncRNA from 1 species
UUUGAAGCUGCGGGAGCUGAAGUGUAAGCAGCUUGAGCCAUUCGCCUGAAGUCUACACUUCUCCUACUACUCAGCCAGUGGCAGAGCGGCGAUUGGGACUGGGCCUGUUUACUCCAAGGUACACGCUGUUAAGUCUUAACUAUGACUCUCAGAAAAGAUCUCCCAGACUUGAAAUCCCAAGGCCCCUGUUUCUACCUUGGGCCCCAGCCUCACAAACACCUGGCAGUCACUUAGUCAGACUGGGGACACUGGGCAGUGGCAGAAUGUGAGCUUGGGAGCCAGACAGGCCUUGGUUCAUCCUCAGGAAACCUCCUGGGCUAGGUGAGAUGAUAAGAGAUGGUGUAUGUGAACGACCAUCCUCAGUCCUCCGACCACUCUCCCUUUGGGCUCCUUCGGAAACAGAGUGUGCCCGCUCUGUCUCAUGUCUGUCUGGCUCUGGCCCCUGACCCCCUCCUGGAGCUGCCAUUGUGCCCUUCUGGGUCCGUGUCUACUGCCUGGUUUGAUGAGCUGGUAAUACAAUAGCAGGAGUAACAAGCCUGAAAGACCAUGACCGUAUCUGCCGCUUCCGAGCGUCCCGGGGAAGCUACCAUGCCACCCUGCCUGCCAGGAUUUAUGACGAGGCAAUAGCGGUCAGGUGCAGGAGGGGCCUGCAGCACUCAGUUUUGCUCUGUCCGUUCUGGUGAAGCGACCGUCUCUGUUGAGGACCGUACUCAGGCCUGCCCUCCCCCAGCGUGUACUGUCCUUUCUGUCUUCAAAGUCAGGGCUUUGGCCGUACACAGUUUCCUUUCUAACACUUGGCAUGUGGGCAAAACCAAUAGGAUUUUUUCUUGGAGGUAAGUUAGAAGGAAAGGGUAGAAGAAAAGAGAUAUAAAAUUUGGAGAGAUUGGUGGAAUGAAUUGAAACCCAAAGUUUGAGCGCCCCAAAGCCUUGCGGGGGACUUUAGUUUCCGUGAUAGAUUUUGUCAAGACAAAUAGAACUCUGCAAAGAGGAAAGUAUGGUUAUUAACAUCCAGUGGACACAGAGGAGGGAAGAACCCGUUUCCUUAUAUGGAGUGUUAUGAAGAAUUCUCGAAUUCUGUGCCGUUUUCACUGUGGUGCCAGCGUCCAUAGGUCACAGAUCACACACGGUGAGGACAGGUGACCUCCUGGAGUUAGUCUGUAGGACUGGGUCUGCAGCCUGUAUGCUUAUGCCACAUUGUGAGAAAGGUGGGCAUCCCAAGAUAGCGGGGGACGGGGAGCAAGAGAAACCAGAUUGGAGAGAGGCAGGUAUGACAACUGGCAAGGGAACCUGAAUCUGACUCAGCACAAACUGUGGUUCAUGAGCCUUUCUUGAUCAAGAUACAGCUAUGCGUGUUUCUGAGAGCGUGUGGAAUUCUAGGGCUUGGCAAUCAGGUGUGAAACGAAAAUCGGACAUUUUGUGUCUGUUGUUCCAUUCUUCUCUCUUCCCCAGGAUCGUGCUCUGCUGCUGCAAAGGAAGAUCCAUAUUAAACAUAUCUUAAACUAGCCUUUUGUAAGUAUGGCAGGGUAGCUUUGAAUCCUGCUGCAAAUUUUUUAAAAAAUUUUUUUAAUGUUUAUUUUUGAGAGAGAGAGAGAGAGAGAUAGAACACGAGUGGGGGAGGGGCAGAGAGGGGGAGGGGGACAGAAUCUGAAGCAGGCUCCAGGCUCUGAGCUGUCAGCACAGAGCCCAAUGUGGGGCUCGACCUCAUGAACCGUGAGAUCAUGACCUGAGCCGAAGUUGGACGCUCAACCGACUGAGCCACCCAGGCGCCCCUCCUGCUUCAAACUUAAUAACCCUUGGCUGAGCUUCGAGAUUACUGAAGAGUGAUGUUCCCACUUUCAAAGGCUAGUUCUGAAAAGACAAUGGAAGCCCUUUGUGGGCUGUAAUGACAAGGAGAACUUCGAUGAUGAUGUCAUAGAUUUCAUCAUGAUAUAAAUGCCAGAUUCUCCUGAAAUGCUGCCUCUUAUCUAGGAACCUCAGAUCCUUUGUAGGUAUUAUCUGGGGGUGAGUAGAGAAACAAAGACCCACCAUGCUAACGGGACUUAACUGAGGUAAUCCAAUGAGUCACUUAUAAUAGGAACAAAGACCUUCCAGGGGAAGGGAGGGAGUUGGUUUAAUGCCAGGAAUGGCUUCUCUUAUUCCGUUUUGCCUGAAAAUAUGGGAUGCUGGACUCUAAAACCUAUCAGAAAAUUCAUUCCCCCAUGAAUUCUGGUUUAAUUUCCUGUCGAUACCUGGCUGAAACACUUGGAAAAAUUGUUUUAUUUGACAUUAUGAGCGUAAAUAUUCAAGUCUUGGUUUCAUUUCUGUUUCUGUGGAAGCUGCUGUUGAGGACCAGAUAUGAACCGUGAUGGACCUGAAAUGAGUGCUGCUUACAGCCAAAUGGUAUGCUGCGUUGGGUUAGCAGUGAGCUGGGUGUUAACGGAAAUAAAUUAGUUUUUAUUUGGAGUAGUACAACCAUUGUGAAGAUCGGCCUUUGAUGCUCCCCUCUUCUCGUCACUUGUGCCUGAAUUCCCUCAGUCAGGUUUGCAGUGCCCAUAAUUUUGUCUCCUUGCCAGUCUUGCCUCCUCUCCCUCUUUACCCCUCCCCUACUCUUCACCCCCCAUCACCAUAAAAAAGUUUUUCGGGGGUGCCUGGGUGGCUCAGUGGGUU